rnacentral:rRNA from 1 species
UACGAAGGGUGCAAGCGUUACUCGGAAUUACUGGGCGUAAAGGGUGCGCAGGCGGUUAUAUAAGACAGAUGUGAAAUCCCCGGGCUCAACCUGGGAACUGCGUUUGUGACUGUAUGACUAGAGUACGGUAGAGAGGGGUGGAAUUCCUGGUGUAGCAGUGAAAUGCGUAGAUAUCAGGAGGAACAUCGAUGGCGAAGGCAGCCCCUUGGACCUGUACUGACGCUCAUGCACGAAAGCGUGGGGAGCAAACAGG